rnacentral:rRNA from 1 species
ACGAACGCUGGCGGCGUGCCUAAUACAUGCAAGUCGAGCGGAAUGAUGAAGAAGCUUGCUUCUUCUGAUUUUAGCGGCGGACGGGUGAGUAACACGUGGCAACCUACCUUGUAGAUUGGGAUAACUCCGGGAAACCGGGGCUAAUACCGAAUAAUCCAUUUUGCUUCAUGGCGAGAUGUUGAAAGACGGUUUCGGCUGUCACUAUAAGAUGGGCCCGCGGCGCAUUAGCUAGUUGGUAGGGUAAUGGCCUACCAAGGCGACGAUGCGUAGCCGACCUGAGAGGGUGAUCGGCCACACUGGGACUGAGACACGGCCCAGACUCCUACGGGAGGCAGCAGUAGGGAAUCUUCCACAAUGGACGAAAGUCUGAUGGAGCAACGCCGCGUGAGUGAAGAAGGUUUUCGGAUCGUAAAACUCUGUUGUAAGGGAAGAACACGUACGAGAGUAACUGCUCGUACCUUGACGGUACCUUAUUAGAAAGCCACGGCUAACUACGUG